GUGCUCAUUUCAGCAGCACAUAUACUAAAAUUGGAACGAUACAGAGAAGAUUAGCAUGGCUCCUGUUCAAGGAUGCAAUGUCCUCUCAAUCAUCAUCGUUUAU
rfam:Papio anubis isolate 1X1155 chromosome 1, whole genome shotgun sequence.